rnacentral:rRNA from 1 species
AGUGCGAUCGGUGGAUGCCUUGGCACCAAGAGCCGAUGAAGGACGUUGUAACCUGCGAUAAGCCCUGGGGAGUUGGUAAACGAGCUGUGAUCCGGGGGUGUCCGAAUGGGGAAACCUGGAAUGUCCGGAGUAGUGUCCGGUGACCCUGCCCUGAAUGUAUAGGGGUGUGGGAGGUAACGCGGGGAAGUGAAACAUCUUAGUACCCGUAGGAAGAGAAAACAACCGUGAUUCCGUGAGUAGUGGCGAGCGAAAGUGGAUGAGGCUAAACCGUGUGUGUGUUCAAGCCGGCAGGUGUUGCAUGUGCGGGGUUGUGGGGGCCUUUUGGUUCUGCUGCCGCAGGAUUGGCCAGUGAUAAAUGUUGCGUGAAGGUGAAGCGUCUGGGAAGGCGUACCGGAGUGGGUGAGAGUCCCGUAACUGUAAGCGUGGCACUGGUGAGGGUUGCCCCAAGUAGCGUGGAACUCGUGGAAUUUCGCGUGAAUCUGGCGGGACCACCCGUCAAGCCUAAAUACUCCUUGGUGACCGAUAGUGUAUUAGUACCGUGAGGGAAUGGUGAAAAGUACCCCGGGAGGGGAGUGAAAUAGUACCUGAAACCGGUCGCAUACAAGCCGUCAGAGCCUUGUGGGGUGAUGGCGUGCCUUUUGAAGAAUGAGCCUGCGAGUUAGUGAUGCGUGGCGAGGUUAACCUGUGUGGGGGAGUCGUAGCGAAAGCGAGUCUGAUAAGGGCGUGAGUCGCGUGUUCUAGACCCGAAGCGGUGUGAUCUAUCCAUGGCCAGGAUGAAGCGUCGGUAAGACGUCGUGGAGGUCCGAACCCACUUCAGUUGAAAAUGGAGGGGAUGAGCUGUGGAUAGGGGUGAAAGGCCAAUCAAACACCGUGAUAGCUGGUUCUCCCCGAAAUGCAUUUAGGUGCAGCGUUGCGUGGUUCUUGUCGGAGGUAGAGCACUGGAUGGUCUAGGGGGCCUAUCAGCUUACCGAAAUCAGCCAAACUCCGAAUGCCGGCAAGUGGAGCGUAGCAGUGAGACGGCGGGGGAUAAGCUUCGUCGUCGAGAGGGAAACAGCCCAGAUCAUCAGCUAAGGCCCCUAAGUGGUAACUCAGUGGAAAAGGAUGUGGAGUUGCGUAGACAGCCAGGAGGUUGGCUUGGAAGCAGCCAUCCUUGAAAGAGUGCGUAAUAGCUCACUGGUCAAGUGAUUCCGCGCCGACAAUGUAGCGGGGCUUAAGUUAUCCGCCGAAGCUGUGGCAAACCCGUGAGGGUUUGGGUAGGGGAGCGUCCUGUGCGAGGUGAAGCUGCCGGGUGACCGUGUGGUGGAUUGUGCGGGAGUGAGAAUGCAGGCAUGAGUAGCGAAUGACGGGUGGAAAACCCGUCCGCCGAUUAUCCAAGGGUUCCAGGGUCAAGUUAAUCUGCCCUGGGUGAGUCGGGACCUAAGGCGAGGCCGACAGGCGUAGUCGAUGGACAACCAGUUGAUAUUCUGGUACCGGCUUGUCACCGUCCGUGUCGAGGUGUGUGAUGCUAAGCGUGCGAGCCUGCCAUUGUGAUGUCUUUGAUGUUGUGGUGGUGUGGUGAGUGUGUGAACCGAUCAUGUAGUAGGCAAGCUGCGGAGGGACGCAGGGAGGUAGCUCAUCCCCGGCGAUGGUUGUCCGGGGCUAAAUGUGUGGACCGUCUGGUAGGUAAAUCCGCCAGGGUUGUGGUUGAGGCAUGAUGGCGAGCCCACGGAAAGUGGGUGAGUGAGUGAUCCUGUACUGUCGAGAAAAGCUUCGUGAGCGAGGUGGCUGGUCCGCCCGUACCCUAAACCGACACUGGUGGAUAGGUAGAGUAUACCGAGGCGAUCGAGAUCAUCAUGGUGAAGGAACUCGGCAAAAUGCCCCCGUAACUUCGGGAUAAGGGGGACCUGAACUGUCAAGGCCUGUACGGCUGGUAGCAGUGAGGGGCGCAGAGACCAGGGGGAAACGACUGUUUACCAAAAACACAGGUCCGUGCGAAGUCGUAAGACGAUGUAUACGGACUGACUCCUGCCCGGUGCUGGAAGGUUAAGGGGAACUGUUAGCGUUGGCGAAGCGGUGAACUUAAGCCCCAGUAAACGGCGGUGGUAACUAUAACCAUCCUAAGGUAGCGAAAUUCCUUGUCGGGUAAGUUCCGACCUGCACGAAUGGAGUAACGAUUUCCCUACUGUCUCCACCAUGAACUCGGUGAAAUUGCAGUACGAGUAAAGAUGCUCGUUACGCGCAGCAGGACGGAAAGACCCCGGGACCUUUACUAUAGUUUGGUAUUGGUGAUUGGGACGACUUGUGUAGGAUAGGUGGGAGACUGUGAAGUGGCCACGCUAGUGGUUGUGGAGUCAUUGUUGAAAUACCACUCUGGUCGUUCUGGUUAUCUAACUUUGGGCCGUGAUCCGGUUCAGGGACAGUGCCUGAUGGGUAGUUUGACUGGGGCGGUCGCCCCCUAAA